ACUUAGGAUGAGUAAUCGGCAAGGAUAGCAAAAUGGACAUUGAAUGGACGCAAUAGUAGCUAGGAUGGUUACUACUAAGGAAAGGCGAUGGACACCGCUAGGAUGGCGAGAAAGGAAUAAGCUGAAGGAAUCAGCAUACUAUCAAGGAUUUGAUGCAUGGAGCACCAUUAGUAGCGGGAUUGCUGCGAGUAAAGUUAUAACCCCGUUAGACGAGAGUCUAGCGGGGUUUUUCUUGUUUUG
rnacentral:misc_RNA from 1 species